UACAGAGGGUGCAAGCGUUAAUCGGAAUUACUGGGCGUAAAGGGUGCGUAGGUGGUUAGAUAAGUUAGGUGUGAAAGUCCUGGGCUUAACCUGGGGAUUGCGCCUAAUACUGUCUGGCUAGAGUACUGUAGAGGAAGGUGGAAUUUCCGGUGUAGCGGUGAAAUGCGUAGAUAUCGGAAGGAACACCAGUGGCGAAGGCGACCUUCUGGACAGAUACUGACACUGAGGCACGAAAGCAUGGGUAGCAAACAGG
rnacentral:rRNA from 1 species